GAUGAAGAACGUAGUGAAAUGCGAUACUUGGUGUGAAUUGCAGAAUCCCGUGAACCAUCGAGUCUUUGAACGCAAGUUGCGCCCGAAGCCAUUAGGCCGAGGGCACGCCUGCCUGGGCGUCACACGUCGUUGCCCCCCCAUCUACUCCUUCGGGAUUGCGGGGGGCGGAUGAUGGCCUCCCGUGCGCCACGCCGCGCGGUUGGCAUAAAUGCCAAGUCCUCGGCGACGCACGCCACGACAAUCGGUGGUUGCGAAACCUCGGUUGCCCGUCGUGUGCGGUCGUCGCGCAUCGAGGGCUCGAAAAAAUUGCCGGGUUCCGGCUCGGCUUCCAACGCGACCCCAGGUCAGGCGGGGUUACCCGCUGAAUUUAAGCAUAUCAAUAAGCGGAGGA
rnacentral:misc_RNA from 1 species